rnacentral:rRNA from 1 species
GACGGGGGAUGCAAGUGUUAUCCGGAAUAAUUGGGCGUAAAGCGUCUGUAGGUGGUUUACCAAGUCUGUUGUUAAAAAUCAGGGCUUAACCCUGAUCCGGCAACAGAACUAGUAGGCUGGAGUACGGUAGGGCAGAGGGAAUCUCGGUGUAGUGGUGAAAUACGUAGAUAUCGAGAAGAACACCAAUAGCGAAAGCACUCUGCUGGGCCGACACUGACCACUGAGAGACGAAGCUAGGGAGCGAAUGGG